rnacentral:rRNA from 1 species
GUAGCUGGCUGAGUUAGUCCCUUGUUAAAUCCACCGAAUUAAUCGUUGGAUUGCGGGGGAUACUGCUCGGCUAGGGGACGAGAGAGGCAGACGGUAUUUCUGGGGUAGGGGUGAAAUCCUAUAAUCCCAGGAGGACCACCAGUGGCGAAGGCUGUCUGCUAGAACGCAGCCCGACGGUGAGGGAUGAAAGCUGGGGGAGCGAACCGGAUUAGAUACCCGGGUAGUCCCAGCUGUAAACGAUGCAGACUAGGUGUUUGGACGGCCACGUGCCGUUCUAGUGCCGCA